AAGAGCUAGGUGCGGGAAAUCCGCACGCCUGGUUCUGUGGGGGUCUGGGCUAUGAAUUGCAUAGCCCUUCUACCCAGA
rnacentral:ncRNA from 1 species